rnacentral:miRNA from 1 species
UCCAUUAUUGUAUGCUAUUAGU